UACGAAGGGGGCUAGCGUUGUUCGGAAUUACUGGGCGUAAAGGGCGCGUAGGCGGUCCUGAUCGUCGGAUGUGAAAGGCCUGGGCUCAACCUGGGAAUGGCAUCCGAUACGGCGGGACUGGAGUGUGGGAGAGGUUGGUGGAAUUCCCAGUGUAGAGGUGAAAUUCGUAGAUAUUGGGAAGAACACCGGUGGCGAAGGCGGCCAACUGGACCACAACUGACGCUGAGGCGCGAAAGCGUGGGGAGCAAACAGGAUUAGAACCUCCGU
rnacentral:rRNA from 1 species